rnacentral:misc_RNA from 1 species
GUGAGUCAUCGAAUCUUUGAACGCACAUUGCGCCCCCUGGUAUUCCGGGGGGCACGCCUGUUCGAGCGCCAUUUCAACCCUCAAGCCUGGCUUGGUGAUGGGCCCUCCGCCGUCCGGCGGGGCCCGAAACGCGUAGGGCGCCGCGGCAGUUGGGCUCUGAGCGUAGCAAGAGAGAACCUCCCUCGCUCCGGAGCCCCCUCCGCGGCCGCCUGGACGACCCCACGAAACUUCGUAAGGUUGGCCUCGGAUCAGGCGGGGAUACCCGCUGAACUUAAGCAUAUCAAUAAGCGGAGGA